rnacentral:rRNA from 1 species
GCUUACGGCCAUAUCAUGUUGAAAGCACCGGUUCUCGUUCGAUCACCGAAGUUAAGCAACAUCGAGCCUAGUUAGUACUUAGAUGGGUGACCGCUCGGGAACCCGAGGUGCUGUAAGCA